rnacentral:rRNA from 1 species
GACCUGGUGGGGUGGUCCGCUUAACGGCGUGUACUGCUCUGCUGGGCCUUACCUCUUGGUGAGCCGGCGUGGUCUUCACUGAUUGCGUCGGGGAACCAGGACUUUUACCUUGAGAAAAUUAGAGUGUUCAAAGCAGGCCUAUGCCUGAAUACAUUAGCAUGGAAUAAUAAAAUAGGACUU